rfam:Triticum aestivum genome assembly, contig: Triticum_aestivum_CS42_TGACv1_scaffold_211436_3AS
UUUCUACUCCCUCCGUCUGAAAAUACUUGUCAUCAAAAUGGAUAAAAAGAGAUGUAUCUAAAAUUAAAAUACGUCUCUAUCUAAAACUAAAAUACGUUUAGAUAUAUUUCCUUUUAUCCAUUUUGAUGACAAGUAUUUCCGGACGGAGGGAGUAUUUG